GGGUGAUUAGCUCAGGUGGUUAGAGCGCGACACUGAUAAUGUCGAGGUCCAUGGUUCGAGUCCAUGAUCACCCA
rnacentral:tRNA from 1 species